AAAUUGAAGAGUUUGAUCAUGGCUCAGAUUGAACGCUGGCGGCAGGCCUAACACAUGCAAGUCGAACGGUAACAGAAAGCAGCUUGCUGCUUUGCUGACGAGUGGCGGACGGGUGAGUAAUGUCUGGGAAACUGCCCGAUGGAGGGGGAUAACUACUGGAAACGGUAGCUAAUACCGCAUAACGUCGCAAGACCAAAGAGGGGGACCUUCGGGCCUCUUGCCAUCGGAUGUGCCCAGAUGGGAUUAGCUAGUAGGUGGG
rnacentral:rRNA from 1 species